GGGCGUAAGAGCUCCGUAGGCGGCUUGUUUACGUCCUGCUGUGAAAUUCCCAGGGCUUCAACCCUGGGCGUGCAGUGGAUACGGGCUAGCUAGAGGCAGGCAGGGGAGAACGGAAUUCCCGGUGUAGCGGUGAAAUGCGCAGAUAUCGGGAGGAACACCAGUGGCGAAGGCGGUUCUCUGGGCCUGUUCUGACGCUGAGGAGCGAAAGCGUGGGGAGCGAACAGGAUUAGAUACCCUGGUAGUCCACGCCGUAAACGUUGGGCGCUAGGUGUGGGGUCCUUCCACGGAUUCUGCGCCGCAGCUAACGCAUUAAGCGCCCCGCCUGGGGAGUACGGCCGCAAGGCUAAAACUCAAAGGAAUUGACGGGGGCCCGCACAAGCAGCGGAGCAUGUUUGCUUAAUUCGACGCAACGCGAAGAAACCUUACCAAGGUUUGACAUGGCCGGAAAACUCAUGGAGACAUGGGGUCCCUUCGGGGCCGGUCACAGGUGGUGCAUGGCUGUCGUCAGCUCCGUGUCGUGAGAUGUUGGGUUAAGUCCCCGCAACGAGCGCAACCCCUCGUCCAAUGUUGCCAGCACGUUAUGGUGGGGACUCAUUGGAGACUGCCCGGGGUCAACUCGGAGGAAGGUGGGGAUGACGUCAAGUCAUCAUGCCCCUUUAUGUCUUGGGCUGCAAACAUGCUACAAUGGCCGGUACAAAGCGCUGCGACACCCGCGAGGUGAAGCGAAUCGCAUAAAGCCGGUCUCAGUUCGGAUCGGGGUCUGCAACUCGGCUCUCGUGAAAGCUGGAGUUGCUAGUAAUCGCGAUCAGCAACGCCGCGGUGAAUACGUUCCUCGGCCUUGUACUCACCCGCCCGUC
rnacentral:rRNA from 1 species